rnacentral:rRNA from 1 species
AUUGAACGCUGGCGGCAUGCCUUACACAUGCAAGUCGAACGGCAGCACGGACUUCGGUCUGGUGGCGAGUGGCGAACGGGUGAGUAAUAUAUCGGAACAUACCCUAGAGUGGGGGAUAACGUAGCGAAAGUUACGCUAAUACCGCAUACGAACUAAGGUUGAAAGUGGGGGAUCGCAAGACCUCAUGCUCAUGGAGUGGCCGAUAUCUGAUUAGCUAGUUGGUGAGGUAAAGGCUCACCAAGGCGACGAUCAGUAGCUGGUUUGAGAGAACGACCAGCCACACUGGAACUGAGACACGGUCCAGACUCCUACGGGAGGCAGCAGUGGGGAAUUUUGGACAAUGGGCGCAAGCCUGAUCCAGCAAUGCCGCGUGAGUGAAGAAGGCCUCGGUUGUAAGCUCUUUGUCAGGGAAGAAAAGGACGUGUGGCGUAAUAUCCACAGCUGCUGACGGUACCUGAAGAAUAAG